UACAGAGGUCUCAAGCGUUGUUCGGAUUCAUUGGGCGUAAAGGGUGCGUAGGUGGCGCUGUAAGUCGGGUGUGAAAUUUCGGAGCUUAACUCCGAAACUGCAUUCGAUACUGCGGUGCUUGAGGACUGGAGAGGAGACUGGAAUUCAUGGUGUAGCAGUGAAAUGCGUAGAGAUCAUGAGGAAGACCAGUGGCGAAGGCGGGUCUCUGGACAGUUCCUGACGCUGAGGCACGAAGGCCAGGGGGAGCAAACGGGG
rnacentral:rRNA from 1 species